rnacentral:rRNA from 1 species
UACGGAGGGUGCAAGCGUUGUCCGGAAUUACUGGGCGUAAAGGGUGCGUAGGCGGUUCGUUAAGUCUGUCGUGAAAUCCCCGGGCUCAACCUGGGAAUGGCGAUGGAUACUGGCGAGCUAGAGUGUGUCAGAGGAUGGUGGAAUUCCCGGUGUAGCGGUGAAAUGCGUAGAGAUCGGGAGGAACAUCAGUGGCGAAGGCGGCCAUCUGGGACAACACUGACGCUGAAGCACGAAAGCGUGGGGAGCAAACAGG